rnacentral:rRNA from 1 species
UACGUAGGGGGCUAGCGUUGUCCGGAAUCAUUGGGCGUAAAGCGCGCGUAGGCGGCCCGGUAAGUCCGCUGUAAAAGUCAAAGGCUCAACCUUUGAAUGUCAGUGGAUACUGCCGGGCUAGAGUCCGGAAGAGGCGAGUGGAAUUCCUGGUGUAGCGGUGGAAUGCGCAGAUAUCAGGAGGAACACCAAUAGCGAAGGCAGCUCGCUGGGACGUUACUGACACUGAGGCGCGAAAGCGUGGGGAGCGAACAGG